AAGAUGCAAACAUGCUUUCACGUGUCCAAUCAUGUCACGUGUCUGGCACACAGUCACGUGCAUGCAUCCUCUGCAAGUAGCUGUGCUUUUGUGUACUUUAAUGCACAGUACUGUAUAGAGCACAGUAGCACAGUAUCUUUAUUUCAAGCGAGAUUUGCAAGAGGAUAUCUUCAUUGAACUUCUUACUGUGCAGCACGAGGAGCUUACUAAGGAAGACCUGAUGGAAUGGAGGCCCAAAGAAAGAACAAAGGGAGACAAGAGGAAGAACAGUAACUAAAGAAAUUUACGACACAAGAAAGGGCAAGGGGAUUUUCUCUAUUUGAGGAGGCACUGAUAAUUUUAUUUUUUUAGUAUGUUAUUGGCUGUGCCAGGUCUUAUUUGCAGCAAACAGAAUCUUCCAUCUUCGUGUGUAUCUUUAGUUGCAGCAUGUGAAAUCUUAGUUGUAGCAUGCAGGAUCUGGCUCUUGGACGAGGGACCAAACCUGGGCCCCUUGCAUUGGGUGCAAAGUCUCAGCCAUUGGACACCAGGGAGGUUCCAGAGGAGACACUUAGUUUUUGAGGCAGGGGACCCAAACGUGGAAUGGCACACAAAGAUUGCAGAAUGCAAUCCAAUGUCAUCUACGUUGAGAAAAAAGAUCUACUACCCAGACGUCAUUGGAUCAUUUUUUUCUAAAGGAUGGGCAGAACCGAACCCAGUAAGGAACCAGAACCUGUGCCAUCAAUGUCAGGGGGGAGUGAAACUGCAGCUCGCCCUCCGUCUCCCAUCGCUGACGAUCCUUCGGCUCUGCCGUCUCCCACCGCUUCUCCCUCCUCCAGUCAGCGACUCUUCUUGCCGUUCGCUUGAUGCCAGCCCCUGUGUGCAGCUGUCAUGCUGCUCUACUUUUAAGGAAACUUUUGAAGCAGAUGACACAAGGUCUCUGGAGGUUUCUCAACCACGUGCUAGAUGCUGGAUGCUGAGAUCAACUUAGGUUGACAUAAGUCUACAACUGAUCACAGGAUGGCAUGGAAUACAACAUUACGUAUGAAAAUUGAGUGGCAGCUGUGAUUUUUAGGCAUGAAGUGUUGGCAUCCUCCCCAUCAUUCUCACAGGUUUGUACUGCAGACCAAAGAGGAAGCAAGGAUGCCUCUCUCUUCUCUAACUCCUAGCCAUCCUUCAACUGCUGGUUUUCUCCUCUACGGUAAAGUGCCUGGUUUUGUUUUGUUGACAACAUUUUCUGUAAAAAUGUAAAAAAAAAAAAAAAUAGGACAGGCUUUAAACCUUGACUUAGAUUCUGAAAUAAUGAUCUGUCUGUGACAAGACUCGUGACUAAGCCGCCACCAGCCACCACCGCCACGCCUUCACGGAGGGCGAUGCUUUUAAAAGAGACUUUGGAGAGAGAAAGACAGAACCACCCAAAGGAGAUGCCAGAGGAAGGGCAGCUUCCACGGAGAGGAAGCAAGUCGAGCAAGUCAAGCGAAGAAAUAAGGCUCCAUUAAAGAAUAAGUGGGAAGCGGAGGCAGACAAGCUUGAGCAUCCUGUCAAUGGCUCCACGGGUCAGGGAAGACAGAGGAGUAACUCGCCAGAGAGGAUGAUACAAGUGAAGGAAGAAUUGUGCUGAGAUGGAAGGGGCCGGUGCAUUGAUGUCUUGUGUGGACGUAACAGGUGAAAAAGGGAAGCUGAAAGAGCAGAGGGGUGAAGAUGAUCAUUUGUGUGUGUCGGCUGUUUCUGCAUACUAUGAUGGUCCGUGGUAAAGAAUUUGUCUGCCGAUGCAAAAGCUGCUGGAGAUGCAGGUUCAAUCCCUGGCUCAGGAAGAUCCCCUGGAGGAGGGCAUGGCAACCUACUCCAGUAUUCCUGCCUGGGAAAUCCCAUGGACAGAAGAGCCUAGUGGGCUACAGUCCAUGGGGUUGCAAAGAGUCAGACAGGACUUAGGGACUGAAGAACAACAAGACCAGGGCUGCUGUGUAGCUCUGUGAAUGGGGCCCCAUGUGUCCCCACAUUGUAAUCUGUGGCAAUGGUACCCAUCUCCCUCCCAGGAUGAGAUCUGAUGGCAUCUGUUCACAGUAGCCCUGGUGAGAUCCCUGAUACACAAUACUUUGUUCCAGAACAGAAGGGAAAAAAACCUCUCACCUUUUCACCCCAUUCACUCUUACAAAAGCACAUGCAUCUUAAAACAAAAACAAAAACAAAAACAUUAAAUUCACACAUGGAAGCCAAAGUUGGAGUGCACCGAAUCCUCCACCUCCAACCCCCAGCGGAUGUCACUUCUAAUAUGCAGUUUAAAACAAAGCUAGCCCAUCAACGUUGAGUUGGAGCUAAAAUUACAAAGGAAAACUGCCACAGCGGUUGCUCUUUAUCAUUUCUGAAAAGCGAAUAUGUGUGGUGCCGCCAAGUUUUCUUAGCGGGCUGUAUCCCAAGACCCAGAUGUAUAAACAUCCUGUCCAUGCAUGGUUAAGCAUCUUCUGGGCCCUCCCUGUGGAUGGAAUGAGCUUCCGGGCAGAACCCCUGUAAGCGUGAUGUGUGCAGGUGAAAAAGCAAAACAGCAGCAGCAACAGUUGAUUAGGAGGUCACUGAAGAAUGGCAGGUAGAAUAAAAAAAAUGCAGCGUUUCA